GACGAACGCUGGCGGCGUGCUUAACACAUGCAAGUCGAACGGAAAGGCCCUGCUUUUGUGGGGUGCUCGAGUGGCGAACGGGUGAGUAACACGUGAGUAACCUGCCCUUGACUUUGGGAUAACUUCAGGAAACUGGGGCUAAUACCGGAUAGGAGCUCCUGCUGCAUGGUGGGGGUUGGAAAGUUUCGGCGGUUGGGGAUGGACUCGCGGCUUAUCAGCUUGUUGGUGGGGUAGUGGCUUACCAAGGCUUUGACGGGUAGCCGGCCUGAGAGGGUGACCGGCUGCAUUGGGACGAAGAUGCGGCGCAGACUCCAACGGGAGGCAGCAGUGGGGAAUAUUGCACGAUGGGCGGAAGCUUGAUGCAGCAACGCCGCGUGCGGGAAGACGGCCUUCGGGUUGUAAACCGCUUUCGCCUGUGACGAAGCGUGAGUGACGGUAAUGGGUAAAGAAGCACCGGCUAACUACGUG
rnacentral:rRNA from 1 species